GAUCUAAAGGAAAAGCAAAUGCGUAGAGCCACAAUAUGGCGGCGAGCAGAGCGCGCAGUGGGCGGGGCCUAAAGGAGGCGCGGGGGCGGGGCUGCAGAACUCUUCCCCAGAGAGGGGAUGAAAGGACUUGAGGGUACCCCACAGGAAGAAAUUCCAAAGUGUGCCUUCCUUGGCUCUCAAAGGGGUUCUGCACUUGAGUGGUGGCAUCAUCUACCAAUCCAAGUGGAACCAAGCCCAAGUCCACAAUCCAGCGAGGAACUAAUGUAUCUAGCAUCAAGAAAGCAGUUUCAGGCAGAGCAGGAAGUGGAUGAAAGCCUCAAGGGAGCUUGGAUGGUGGCAUGGAGCAACCCACCACCUCUCAGCUCUUCUAAUAGAUCCAGGUUUGUUGUAGGAGGACUCUUAUACAAGGAGUGGGCACAAGGAGGACUGGCAUCCUCAGAGACAGUUGGUAGUCCCAACUAAGAAUAGGGAAAAGCUCUUGAGCUUAGUCCACGAUCACCCUAGUGGCCAUGCUGGGUGAAUAGGACAAAAGACCAUCUGGGAAAGUCAUUCGACUGGGAGGGAAUGGGCAAGGACAUUUCUACCUAUGUCUGGUCUUGUGAGGUGUGCCAGAGGGUGGGAAAGCCCCAAGACCAGGUCAAGGCCCCUCUCCAGCCACUCCCCAUAAUUGAGGUUCCAUUUCAGUGUGUAGCUGUGGAUAUUCUGGGUCCUUUCCCUAAGAAGAUACCCAGAGGAAAUCUGUACUGACCUUAAUGGAUUUUGCCACUCAAUGACCAGAAGCAGUAGCUCUAAGUAACACCAGGGCUAAAAGCAUGAGCCAAGCAUUGGCAGAAAUUUUUGCCAGGAUAAGUUGGCCCUCCGACAUCCUUACAGAUCCUUACUAACUUCCUGACAGGGACCAUGAAACGUCUUUGGGAAGCUCAUGGGGUGAACCACUUGGUUGCCACCCCUUACCACCAUCAAAUGAAUGGCCUAGUGGAGAAGUUUAAUGGAACUUUGGGGGCCAUGAUACGUAAAUUUGUGAAUAAGCACUCCAAUGAUUGGACCCUAGUGUUGCAGCAGUUGCUUUUUGCCUACAGGGCUGUACCUCAUCCUAGUUUGGGGUUUUCACUCUUUGAACUCGUUUAUGGCCAUGAAGUUAAGGGGCCAUUGCAGUUGGUGAAGCAUCAAUGGAGGGGGGUUACAUCUUCUCCAGGAACUAACAUUUUGGGGUUUUCUGCUGCUGUCUCCUGGUUCCUCCUGGCCGGCCUCGGUGAGGUCAGUCGGGGGCUCCUGGGAAGACAUGGGUGCUCCUGGCCAGCCUCGGUGAGGUCGGUCGGGAGUGCCUGAGCAGACAUGAGUGCUCCUGGCUGACCUCGGUGAGGUCGAUCUGGGGCGCCUGGACAUAAACGGGAGUGACUCCAGGUCAUUUCCUUCUUUACGUUUUGUCUAAUGGAGAGUCAGUCCUGCCUGGAAUAUCAGGUAAGCCUACCAAAGAACCAGAAAGGCAAAGGGCCGCUCUGGGUCAGAGCCCCAAACUUCCCAUUUCUAUGAUGAGCUGCAGGAAGAAUGUGGCCAGCAGCAGUGCAGGAGAGAAGGGAAGGCAUGGGAGCUGCUUCCAGCUGCCGGGGAAUGGGGAUGACCAGGGGCAGCUCUAUGUUUUUUGCUGCCCCAAGCACGGCAGUCAGGUGGCCUUUGGUGUCACGCCUGUGGGCUGUCCACUGGUCACGCGGAUUCGGCGGCGUUUCUGCGGGUGAUCUGCCGGUCUCGCGCCUUUGUACCUGCCGCUGAAUUGCCACCGAAGCCGCGGGAAUGGUGGGCCUCCCACAGUCAUGCCGCCAAAGGCUGCCUGACUGCCGCCCUAACGGUGACCUGUAUGCAACCUCCCGUGGCUUGCCAUCCCAGGCACACACUUGCUGCGCUGGUGCCUGGAGCCGCCCUGGGGAUGAAUUGGCCCAUGUCUUUGCAAAGCUCAUCUCUUCUCCCCCUACUCCUACCCCCCCGCCCCCCACAUCCUGGUGCUGGAAGUAGCUUGUCCCUUCCUACCUGCAUAGUGUUGAAAGGCAGCUAACACCUCCAGGCUGCUGCUGGCCACUGACAUAACCCAGCUGCAGCACAGGCAGGAAGGGGUUAAGCCCUAAGGAUUAACAUUGUCAACCCUCCAAGAUUGCCCUGAAGUCUUCAGGAAUUAAAGAUUAAUCUUUAAUUUAAGAUUGUCAUGUGAUGGAACCUCCCGGAAUACAACCAAAACUGACCACCCCACUAAGGGUACAUGGUGCACCAGGGCCCAGGGAACCUGGCUGCAGGGAUUGCAGCGAACCUGGCCAGAGAGGUGGUACAGGAGAAGAGGGUGCCUAGGGGGUGGAGCAGUCCCAUGCUCACUGGGGCAGGACCCAGGGUAGUGACGGGGGACAGAGAGUGAAGAGGGUGCUCAGCCCCUGCCCUGGUAGCUGCUGUGGAGCCUGUAGGUAUAGGGAGUGAACAGGCUGGAAACUGCUCCUCUCCCCUCCCCUCCUCCCCCCCUGC